UAGUCCCUAAACUAUCACUCUUUCACCAACUUAGUCCCUAAACUAUUAAAACCAACUAAAAAGUCCCUAAACUAUAUUCACAUCCUUCAAUUUAGUCCAUAAACUAUUUUCCAUCCAUCAAUUUAGUCCUCCGUUAUAUUUUUCUUUAACUGUUCUUUAAAACCCUAAAAUCCAAAAGCUACUUUUACGCUUAUAUCUCUCUUCUCGAUCAACUCUCUCAAAUCAUCUCAAUCUGAAAACCCUAGCGCCACCUAUACGCUCCAAUUCCGGUUGUCGUCGUUGUUUUAAGGUACGUUUUUCAUGCCAACUCCAGGAUUAAGCCGAGGAUCACGCAAUGAAGGACCUUCUACUUAGUGCUUUUGUUUGAUAGUUGCUUAUAAUAUUUGGUUUUUUGUAAUGAUGCAUGCUAGUUUUCUAGUAAUGAAAUUAUGGUUUAUGAUUAAUAUUGUUCUUUAGUUAACUAUGGAUUUUGAUUUAGUUAGUUCUUUUGAUGGAUAAUGGAUUUGUUGACUUAUGUAAUGAAUUUGAUG
rnacentral:lncRNA from 1 species